GACGAACGCUGGCGGCGUGCUUAACACAUGCAAGUCGAACGGAAAGGCCCUGCUUUUGUGGGGUGCUCGAGUGGCGAACGGGUGAGUAACACGUGAGUAACCUGCCCUUGACUUUGGGAUAACUUCAGGAAACUGGGGCUAAUACCGGAUAGGAGCUCCUGCUGCAUGGUGGGGGUUGGAAAGUUUCGGCGGUUGGGGAUGGACUCGCGGCUUAUCAGCUUGUUGGUGGGGUAGUGGCUUACCAAGGCUUCGACGGGUAGCCGGCCUGAGAGGGUGACCGGCCACAUUGGGACUGAGAUACGGCCCAGACUCCUACGGGAGGCAGCAGUGGGGAAUAUUGCACAAUGGGCGGAAGCCUGAUGCAGCGACGCCGCGUGAGGGAUGACGGCCUUCGGGUUGUAAACCGCUUUCGGCAGUGACGAAGCGAGAGUGACGGUAAUGGGUAAAGAAGCACCGGCUAACUACGUG
rnacentral:rRNA from 1 species